rnacentral:rRNA from 1 species
CCUACGGGAGGCAGCAGUGGGGAAUAUUGGACAAUGGGCGAAAGCCUGAUCCAGCAAUGCCGCGUGAGUGAUGAAGGCCUUAGGGUCGUAAAGCUCUUUUACCAGGGAUGAUAAUGACAGUACCUGGAGAAUAAGCUCCGGCUAACUCCGUGCCAGCAGCCGCGGUAAUACGGAGGGAGCUAGCGUUGUUCGGAAUUACUGGGCGUAAAGCGUGCGUAGGCGGUUAUUCAAGUCAGAGGUGAAAGCCCGGGGCUCAACCCCGGAACGGCCUUUGAAACUAGAUAACUAGAAUCUUGGAGAGGUCAGUGGAAUUCCGAGUGUAGAGGUGAAAUUCGUAGAUAUUCGGAAGAACACCAGUGGCGAAGGCGACUGACUGGACAAGUAUUGACGCUGAGGUACGAAAGCGUGGGGAGCAAACAGGAUUAGAUACCCUGGUAGUCCACGCCGUAAACGAUAGAUAACUAGCUGUACCGGACUACGUUGGUUGUUUGGGGUGGUCGCGACGCGUACGACUAUUAAGUUAGUCCGUCCGUCGGGUAGGUACGGUCGCGAGAAGUAAACUAACUAAAGUAGUAGUAGACGGUCGUGUAGUUAGUUGUACGACGACGACGACGAGGGAGGAGG